CAGUCGCCACGGUAAUACAGAGGGUGCAAGCGUUAAUCGGAUUUACUGGGCGUAAAGGGCGCGUAGGUGGUUAUGUAAGUGAGAUGUGAAAUCCCCGGGCUCAACCUGGGAACUGCAUCUUAUACUGCGUAGCUGGAGUGCAGUAGAGGGUAGUGGAAUUUCCGGUGUAGCGGUGAAAUGCGUAGAUAUCGGAAGGAACACCAGUGGCGAAGGCGGCUACCUGGACUGACACUGACACUGAGGCGCGAAAGCGUGGGGAGCAAACAGGAUUAGAUACCCCCGUAGUCCCUGUCUCUUAUAC
rnacentral:rRNA from 1 species